rnacentral:rRNA from 1 species
AAGUAUUAAUUUAAAAUUUGAUGAAUAGGGAGUUUUGAUUUAAUUGAAAUAACAUUAAUUAUGUAUGUUUUAGUAUAGUAAUAGAACAAAUUUAUUUAUUUAUAGUGGAGUAGUACUGUGAAGGGAAAUUGAAAAAAGUUGAAAAUAAAUUUUUAGAAAAGUAAAUUAAUAUUGUACCUUGUGUAUCAGGGUUUAUUAAAAUUGGAAUAGAGAUUUAUUUUUCCCGAAUUAAAAAGAGCUAAUUUGUUAUGUUGGUUAGUGUGGUACUAUUAUCAAGAAUAGCAAGUUUGUAAUGAAAUAUUAGUCGGUUUUUAAGAUAUCUGGUUCUUCAAGUUAUGAAUUUAAUUCAGUAUUUAAUAGUA